CCUCCUGGAAAACGGGUGGUAAUGCCGGAUGCUCCGACUCCUCGCAUGGGGUGUCGGGAAAGAUUUCAUCGGUAUGGGAUGGGGUCGCGUCCUAUCAGGUAGUCGGCGGGGUAACGGCCCACCGAGCCUACGACGGGUAGCCGGCCUGAGAGGGCGACCGGCCACAUUGGGACUGAGAUACGGCCCAGACUCCUACGGGAGGCAGCAGUGGGGAAUAUUGCACAAUGGGCGCAAGCCUGAUGCAGCGACGCCGCGUGCGGGAUGACGGCCUUCGGGUUGUAAACCGCUUUUGAUCGGGAGCAAGCCUUCGGGUGAGUGUACCUUUCGAAUAAGCACCGGCUAACUACGUGCCAGCAGCCGCGGUAAUACGUAGGGUGCAAGCGUUAUCCGGAAUUAUUGGGCGUAAAGGGCUCGUAGGCGGUUCGUCGCGUCCGGUGUGAAAGUCCAUCGCUUAACGGUGGAUCUGCGCCGGGUACGGGCGGGCUGGAGUGCGGUAGGGGAGACUGGAAUUCCCGGUGUAACGGUGGAAUGUGUA
rnacentral:rRNA from 1 species